rnacentral:lncRNA from 1 species
GAGUCGGGUGGAGCAGGGAGGGCGUCCGGCUGGACCGGGGCUGGCCCUUGGCACGAUCUCCUUGCCACACUCUCUGGCCAUGUCACAGGCAGGAAGCGGACCUUGCAGGGGCCAUGCAGGGAAGCACGGGCCACCAGGUGAGGUCACCGUGGACUAGUCAGAGCACCCAGCAGAAGAUCCUAAAGUACCUGGGGAGGGAUUCAUGCUGCAAAGGAGGGAGGUGGUCAGGGGAGUGUGAGAGUCCAGUCCCACAAGUCGGUGGCCCUCCUGCCCCUCUGGUGUCUCACUGGUCUUGCCCUCAGUGCCACCUGGAAGGAGAGCAGUGUGACCGGCCAGGCGGAUACCACCAUCCUGGGAGCUGUGUGGGCUGUGGAACUGCAGUUCCACCCAGGGUCCCCACCCAGGGUCCCUCCACACCCCCAUCCAGGGCACAGAAGAGGCCCUUUAUGAAACGGACGGCCGAGGGUAGGCAUGGGGGGAGGGGCAGAGAACUCCUCAGAUGUUGUUAAAGUGUCGGGAGGACAUCACAGGCAGCACCCAGAGCCAUGUCAGCGUGGGGGGCCCAGGGCUGACUCCAGAACCUCCCCUGCAAGCAUGUCCUAUGCUGGACAUGUGUCCCCUGGGCCACUUCCCUGGUGGUAGAUUCGCCUGGCUCUCUAGAGGCUCAAAGCCUUGCCGUGUUCCUUGUCCUCUGAAACGCUGUCUGGGGGAGGGGUGGGGACCCUUUCCUGAAGGCUGCUGGACAUGGAUCCCCACAACAGGCCCCUCCCCAGGGAGUGCAUUCCCAAGGCCAGGCAGGUCCAGUGUUGGUGGCAGCACUCCUGGGGGCACGGGCCUUGGUGUCUCUGUUCCACAGUGCCACCACUGGUCACUGUGGAAAACGACAUAGGCCCCACUGUCCUGAGCAGGGAGGCUGCAGGGCCGGGAGGGGGAUCUGUGGGCCUUGCCCCCUGCGGAGCCUGCUCCCUACAGGGCUUGGACCUCACUUUCUAGUCCCUGAGAGUUUUAUCAAAGGCUUUGAAGAAGAACAGGGGCUUGCCUCUCCCCCCAGGAACCUGACUCAUCUACAAAAUGACAUCACUGUUCCCACAGAGGCCAUCCCCACAGGAAGAGGGAAGCUGGGGUGCAGGACCAACCCAAGCUUUUCCAGCGCCACCUGGGGCUCAAGCUUCCUGACCCACACACCCUCCUCUUCUACCUCCUCAGAAAAACAGAAGCCUGCCCAUUAUUAACUGAUGUUUGAAGUUUAGAAACAUAUGUGCUGCGAAUCAAAGUGCAUUGUUAGGGCUCAAACUUCAGUUUUAUAAUGUAGGAGACUUUUUAAAAAUAAAUUAUGAUAUGAGAACAGUAGGGCAGCGAGGACAGUCCGGCUCAAUGGUCCCAUGAACCGCAUCUUCGAAGAGGAAAUUUCCUGGCUGUGGAGCAAACGGUAAGAGAUCAGCCUUCACCAAAGUAUUACUAUAAAGAGGAACAAGGAGGCCCUGCUUCGGGACCACGGAGCAGACACACCUUUCCCUCUCCCUCCUUCGGGGGCAGCUACACAAUAUCAAACAGGAGAAGCCGGUGCCGGGUGGAGAGAGGGUUGAACCGUGGGGCCAGGCCCGCUUCCCUCUGCCCAGCCUGGCUGUGCCCUGCCCCACACCCUGCUGCCACCCAGCUCCACUGUGCCCAGGGGGCCUGGCAGAGCUCUGGGGAGGGACCGUGUCUUCCAAGGGGAGGUGGCCUGUCCAGCUUGUUGCGUUUGGUCUUCUGUGACCUGGCUGCUGUCCUCUCACUGUGUCACCUAGAGGCUGUGUGUACUUGUGUGAGGGGCCGGGGGACAGCGCUGAAGGAAAUCCAUCAGUUCUGCUUUCAAAUAACAGAACACACCAGCAGAUGCACUGGGCAGAUGAGGGCUUCUUAGCAUUUUGCAAAAUACCAGCAGCAGCUGCCUGCCCGAUGGCUCCUGGCUCUCUAAGCCGGCCUGUGGGGACGGGCCUUGCACCCAGAGGGGUCAGAGCAUCCUGGCUGUCCUCUCCAUCAAUGGCCACUGAGGGGCCAGAAGCCAAGGGGUCACCCACACCCCCGGGGUCCCCUGUGCCCACCAUCUUGCUCCAACCUUUGAGCCACCUUAGUGUCUUCAAGUGAGCAAUAGUGACAAGAAAAAAUAGUCCCCAAACAUCUCCAAGUGCUACCAUUAUCAGUAAAAAUCUUUUGCGCAUGCGUUGCCCAUAUGGGUAUGAUGGUCUAUUGAGACAGCGGCAUCAAGCACUUUAAUGCCACUAGUGUUUUGUAUUAUGAGCAAAAACGUCAACUAAAAGUGAAUGAGAUGCACAUAAAGGGUGAGUGUGCUGGUUUGGAUAGUGUGUUGCCCACAUUCCUGUCCUCGGAGCAUCAGGAUGUGACCUAUGUACAGUUAGUUAAGAUGAGGUUGUCCUGGAGGGAGCACACCCUUAGUCCAGCAAGAUUCACUCCUCAUAGAAGGAGGACAAAGGACACAGAGACAGGGACCCACGCAGGAAUGCCACAUGACAGGAGAGGCAGAGGUCACAGCUACGUGGCUGCAAACCAAGGUGGCGGCAACACCAGGAGCUGGAAGAGACAAGGAAGGUCCUCCCCUGGAGGCUUCUGGACAGGCUGGCCCUCCGACACCCCCUUCAUGGACUUCUGACUCCACUUCUCGUGUUUUAAGCCGUUCAGCUGUGGCAAUUCCUGACAUCGGGGGAGCCAACACGACAUAGAGAAAAGCAAAUCAGAACUACUCUAGGGUUCCAUCUCACUCCAGUCAGAUGGCAGUCAUCAAGAAUACAGGCAAAAAUCAGUGUUGGCGAGGACAUGGGGAAAAGGGCACACUCAUACAUUGCUGGUGGGACUGCAAAUUGGUGCAACCACUAUGGAAAGCAGGAUGGAGAUUCCUCAGAAAACUUGGAAUGAAACCACCAUCUGACCAAGUUAUCCCACUCCUCAGUUUAUAUCAAAAGGACUUAAAAUCAGCAUACUACAGUGACACAGCCACAUCAAUGUUUAUAGCAGCACAAUUCACAAUAGCCAAACUAUGGAACCAACCUAGAUGCUCUUCAACAGACGAAUGGAUAAAGAAAAUGUGGUCCAUAUACACAAUGGAAUAUUACUCAGCCUUAAAGAAGAAUGAAAUUAUAGCAUUUGCAGGUAAAUGGAUGGAACUGGAGACUAUCAUGC